AGUAUUUGCAGCACAGCAAAAACAGCCACCCCUCACGAUCACAAUGGAAGACGACAUUGCUGCCCUGUUUUUUGACAAUGGCUCUGGUAUGUGCAAAGCAGUAUUUCCAUCAAUUGUGGGUUGCCCCAGACACCAGGGUGUCAUGGCUGGUAUGGGACAAAAAGACAGAUAUGUAGGAGAUGAAGCUCAGAACAAGAGAGGUAUCUUGACCCUGAAAUAUCCAACUGAAC